rnacentral:rRNA from 1 species
GAUGAACGCUGGCGGCGUGCCUAAUACAUGCAAGUCGAGCGAACAGACGAGGAGCUUGCCCCUUUGACGUUAGCGGCGGACGGGUGAGUAACACGUAGGUAACCUACCUAUAAGACUGGGAUAACUUCGGGAAACCGGAGCUAAUACCGGAUAAUAUUUCGAACCGCAUGGUUCGAUAGUGAAAGAUGGCUUUGCUAUCACUUAUAGAUGGACCUGCGCCGUAUUAGCUAGUUGGUAAGGUAACGGCUUACCAAGGCAACGAUACGUAGCCGACCUGAGAGGGUGAUCGGCCACACUGGAACUGAGACACGGUCCAGACUCCUACGGGAGGCAGCAGUAGGGAAUCUUCCGCAAAGGGCGAAAGCCUGACGGAGCAACGCCGCGUGAGUGAUGAAGGUCUUCGGAUCGUAAAACUCUGUUAUUAGGGAAGAACAAACGUGUAAGUAACUGUGCACGUCUUGACGGUACCUAAUCAGAAAGCCACGGCUAACUACGUG